UACAGAGGGGGCAAGCGUUGUUCGGAAUCACUGGGCAUAAAGGGCGCGUAGGCGGCUUUUCAAGUCAGGGGUGAAAUCCGGCAGCUCAACUGUCGAAGUGCCCUUGAUACUGAUGAGCUCGAGGGAGGUAGGGGUGUGUGGAACUUCCGGUGGAGCGGUGAAAUGCGUUGAUAUCGGAAGGAACGCCGGUGGCGAAAGCGACGCACUGGACCUCUUCUGACGCUGAGGCGCGAAAGCCAGGGGAGCAAACGGG
rnacentral:rRNA from 1 species